rnacentral:misc_RNA from 1 species
CGAAAUGCGAUAAGCAAUGUGAAUUGCAGAAUUCAGUGAAUCAUCGAAUCUUUGAACGCACCUUGCGCUCCUUGGUAUUCCUUGGAGCAUGCCUGUUUGAGUAUCAUGAAAUCUUCAAAGUAAAUCUUUUGUUAACUCAAUUGGUUUCUACUUUGGUAUUGGAGGUCUUUGCAGCUUCACACCUGCUCCUCUUUGUUCAUUAGCUGGAUCUCAGUGUUAUGCUUGGUUCCACUCGGCGUGAUAAGUUAUCUAUCGCUGAGGACACUGUAAAAGGUGGCCAAGGUAAAUGCAGAUGAACCGCUUCUAAUAGUCCAUUGACUUGGACAAUACUUUUAUGAUCUGAUCUCAAAUCAGGUAGGACUACCCGCUGAACUUAAGC